CAGGAGUCGAAAGUGAAUGACAAUUUGGAAAGCAGCAAGCCAGAAGAAUCUAGGAGGCCUUAAAGAAGAUUGAUAGGAAAAUCAAUGCCUUAUAAAAGCCAGGUUGCACAGUGAAAAAUGAUAGUAAUCUUCUACAACCGAGAAACACAACAUGGGGCAAUUGCCUGGGGCCUCUCCCAGGCAGAUAAGCUUGUCUUUGAGAAAAUUGGCAUUAGUGAUUGUGUGAAAAAGCCAAAACAACAGGGAAAUUCAAUCAAAUGCUUAGAGGAGAGAGUAGGAAGCAGCAAAAAUUAACAACAAUC